UACGAAGGGGGCUAGCGUUGCUCGGAAUUACUGGGCGUAAAGGGAGCGUAGGCGGAUAGUUCAGUCAGAGGUGAAAGCCCAGGGCUCAACCUUGGAAUUGCCUUUGAUACUGGCUGUCUUGAGUAUGGGAGAGGUUAGCGGAACUCCGAGUGUAGAGGUGAAAUUCGUAGAUAUUCAGAAGAACACCAGUGGCGAAGGCGGCUAACUGGCCCAUUACUGACGCUGAGGCUCGAAAGCGUGGGGAGCAAACAGG
rnacentral:rRNA from 1 species